CCUACGGGUGGCUGCAGUGAGGAAUAUUGGUCAAUGGACGAGAGUCUGAACCAGCCAAGUAGCGUGAAGGAUGACUGCCCUAUGGGUUGUAAACUUCUUUUAUAUGGGAAUAAAAUGUUCCACGUGUGGGAUUUUGUAUGUACCAUAUGAAUAAGGAUCGGCUAACUCCGCGCCAGCAGCCGCGGUAAUACGGAGGAUCCGAGCGUUAUCCGGAUUUAUUGGGUUUAAAGGGAGCGUAGGUGGAUUGUUAAGUCAGGUGUGAAAGUUUGCGGCCCAACCGGAAAAUUGCAGUUGAAACUGGCAGUCUUGAGUACAGUAGAGGUGGGCGGAAUUCGUGGUGUAGCGGUGAAAUGCGUAGAUAUCACGAAGAACUCCGAUUGCGAAGGCAGUUCACUGGACUGCAACUGACACUGAGGCUCGAAAGUGUGGGUAUCAAACAGGAUUAGAUACCCCAGUAGUC
rnacentral:rRNA from 1 species